UUUUGAGCUAGCAUAGCUUCGUUGAUAGGCUAACUCCUAACAGCAACUCGAACACAACAACAAUCGUUUCCGGCGUCCAAUCAGAUCGUUCAGAACUAAAACAAGUAAUGAACAUGUUUGUAUGAGCUGCAGACAUCCCAACGGCUUUCAGGGAAACGUUACCGGCUCCCUUUAAUUAAAGCCAAUUACGCCCCACAAAAAGCCUUUUCAUUAGUUUUAUGUUUUAUUCUAAUUAAUGAGAUCCUGGAAAAUUCAACUUAUCACUUCUGGCUCAACGGCCUCAGAAAUCUGAAGGAGCCAAAACGUUUUGUUCCUGGACGAACCGGGUUGAGGCAGAACGCUGAAAACAAACCGAUUCAACCGAGAUCAUGGAGGUUAUACCUGCAGACAGACAGACACAGAGACAGACAGACAGAAACAGAGACAGACAGACAGACAGACAGACAGACAGAAACAGAAACAGACAGACAGACAGACAGACAGACAGAAACAGAGACAGACAGACAGACGAUCCUGGACGAGUCCAGCCCAUCUGACCCGGAUAAUAUUCUCUUUUUCAUUAAAUCUGAGCUCAACUUUCAACUCUUCUGACUGAAAAUGUGUUUUUUUAUAAAUAGGUGAAAAAUGAAAGACUUGAACUUUGAGGAUUUUCUGUUUUAGCUCCUUUAGCUUCGACAGAUUUCAGCUCCACCCAGAAACACGGAGAGGAGAAAUAUUAAGUUUCAGACCAAAAUGAAACAGCAAAAGCUGUUUAAUUACAGACACAAACACGGCCGAGAAUUAUAGAGCAGCGUGAAGAGGAUUAAUUACAGCUAUAAGACCUGCAGCUAAUGUUCAGAGCGACGCUAAUGCUAAUGACAGGAGAGGCUCCCCUGCAGCUUUAACUCACUGACCUUCACUCACCUGCAGAAAUGCAACCAGCUAAUAAUCCACUGGAUGUUUUAUGGAUCUGUUAGGAAGUAAAAUGUUGGAAUAUUGUUUAAAAUAAAAGAUUUAAUAAAUAUAAAAGGCAUUUGGCCUUAUUAAUAAAGUGAGAUAUCAUGAACCAACUAAUAAACUCAAAGUUAUAUCUGCAGAUUUAAAGACAUUGUUUGUACUAAAAUACUCUAAAUAAUGUAUAAAGAGAUGAACACAAGUUUUCCUUCUGGAAUUCAGAAAUGACUUAAAGGUUAGAAAAGUUAGAAUAGAUACACAAAACCUGUUUAUUACAUUUUUAUAUCAAAUCUUUUUUUGUCUAUUUUAGCUCCUUCAGAUGUUUUAGUUUUCUGUUGAGUUUUAAAGAUGUAGCAGCUGAUAUUACUGUGCAGAUGUAUAAAUGUGUUGUUUAUCCAUAACUGUGUCAUAUUUAAAUAAUUCUCUGAUCAUGUUUAAUAAUGUGACCAGUUUGUUUCUUCAUGAACAGGACAAGUUAUCAGUUUCUAUUAAAAAUAGUAUUUUAUGUUAAUUUCUUUUCUGUAAUGUUGUAAGUUUACCAAACUAAAGUUAAUCUAAAUGUGAGGUGAGUUUCUUUUUCUCUGUCCAGUUUUAUGCUGACGUGUUUUUCCAGUCCAGUCGUUGUGAUGGGAUCUAACUGGAAACCAGUUGUUGGUGCUGGGAGAUAAUAAAUAGUCUGCAGGAUUUCAUGGCCUGUCAGUUUGUGCUACAGUAACAUCAGGACUGAAGGGAAACGGCGCCGUUAACGAGGCAGAGUAACGGCUGAUUGGACGCCCGCCGCCGGACCGCCGUCCGUCAUCCUGACGGGCCGUCCGGGGGCCGGCGCCGCGGCCCCGUCAGGUUCCCCACUAUUUUAGUCCCACUGUGGACGUGUUCCUGUCAGGAGGAAGGGCCGCUCGUCUUCAUCAGCCGCAGGACAGAAACCUGUCAGCAGGAACUCAAACCGUCCAGAACAGCCAGAACGGACCAGUUAAAGCCCAACGCACCAGUUCAUCCAGGAAGUGAAACGAUUUAUCCAGGAAAGCAGCUGAUUGGACCAGAGGAGAAAAACGUGUUGAGUUGUUUUCUUUCAGGUUCAGGAUGAAAUCUGUUCGGUUUAUUCAGAAUUCAUCUGGUGGCUUUAAAAUCAGCAGCCUGGGAUCAACGCGUCCAUUUUUACAGUGCAGAGAGUCACAGUGAUAACGCAGCAUCACACACCCACAUGCAGCCCGGUGUGUGUGUGUGUGUGUGUCAUCGGCCAGCGUAGCCGGCAGGAGAAGGCAGCUGUCUGACCACAUCUACACACACUGCAUGAGAAGGUGCUCACACACACACAUUCUCUCUCUCUCUCACACACACACACACAUUCUCUCUCUCUCACACACACACACACAUUCUCUCUCUCUCUCUCACACACACACACUCUGAGCUGCAUGUGAGCCGUUCAUCUGCAUGAGGGAAGUCGAGGCAAAAACCGGUGAACCAGUCAGGAUCCUCCGUUCAUUAACCCUCAUUAAGCAGGCAGUGAGUGUGUGUGUGUGUGUGUGUGGGUGUGGGUGUGUGUUUGUGUGUGUGUUCAGAGUUAACAGACCGGUACGUCACACAGAGUUUGUUUAUCAUAAAUAUCAUCACUUUGGUAACAAUACCUGUAAAUAUUUCAUUAAUCUCUAAAACCUUUAAUGAAAAAUUACAGUCAGUUAUAAAUAAAAGAGUAAAAAUGGUAAAAAUGUGAUUCUAGAACUGAAUGUUUAAUAAAAGCUUCUGAUAAAAUCAGAGAGAAAACAAGAAACAUUUUGUGUAAAUUCAGGAAGAAAGUUUUUCACUAAAACAAAAAAACAUUUUCUGAUGCAAAGCGUUAAAAUUAGAACGUUUUUAUAAUCUAACUUUCUGAUUUUUACAUCAUUAUAAAGGUAAAACUUUCUCUCCAAUAAUCCACAAACAUAAAAAGGUUUCAGAAGGUUUCAGUAAAAACGAUCUCUGUGCCUUACCAGAGCCACCAGUCUGUGUCUGUGCCUCUGGUAAGGCAGUAACAUGUUCGUUAAAUAUGUUUAGAAAACCUGAACUGGAUCAUUCUGGUGAAAUCAUGGAUUUAUUGGGACCAAAUUAUUUGGAAAGUUCAGCUACAUUUUAAUAAUCUGUUCAGAAUUUAUUAAAUAGAUCCAGUCUGACAACAUGAAGUAGGCAAGACAAACUUUACCUAGCAACAAGAAAAAUAUGUUUUCUUUUUCAUAACACAAACUCACUAAUAAACAACUUCAAGAUAAUUUGACAUCGUUCUCUUGGAGUUUGUCUGAACAGUCUUUACAUUAUUAUUGUUGUUAAUAAAUGGUGUUUAUGUUAUUAGUGUUGCUGUUUCUUUCAGGCCUUAAAUAGAAACAGAAAACGUGACGAACCAUCGAAACGUUGAUUUUUAAUGCUGAAGAGCUGCAGACGUGCUGCAGACGUGCUGCAGACGUGCUGCAGACGUGCUGCAGACGUGCUGCAGACGUGCUGCAGACGUGCAGCUCUGACCGGUCAGCGCCGCGUCUGCAUCGGCUUUAUGUAACCGCAGUCUGAGCUCAUUAGACACAAACUGAAACAAACGAUGACUAAAUGCAGGCAGACGGAGUCCAGUCGGGUCAGGAACCAGGUCACAAAGUUUGUUUCUCUGUCAGAUCAGUUCAAGUUCACUCAGCUGCAGCCUGGUCAGAACCAGAGUUCAGACUUCAGUUGUUUUAUUUAAAUGAAGGUUGAAUCUUUAGAACGAAGGACCUGAGUUCAGGAUCAGACCAGGUUGAUGCGACGCGUCGCUCUGUUUUGUUUUACGCCAACAUUCAUGCGACAGGAAGUGCGGCGAAGUUCUGCUGGUGUCGUGUGAGUUGGACCUGAAUGCUUCACAUCCUCACCGCCGUCCAGCAUCAGGAACCGCCAGGCAGAAAAACACGACGGAGGAAAAUGAAGAUUUAAGCAGCGUGGCUCGUCAAAAUAAAAGCUUCUGCCUCAUAAUUCUUAUAAGACCUACAAUAAAUAACACAUUUAUUUA